UACGUAGGGGGCUAGCGUUGUUCGGAAUCACUGGGCGUAAAGGGCUCGUAGGCGGCUUUAUAAGUCGGGGGUGAAAGCCUGUGGCUCAACCACAGAAUUGCCUUCGAUACUGUAGAGCUUGAGACCGGAAGAGGUAAGUGGAACUGCGAGUGUAGAGGUGAAAUUCGUAGAUAUUCGCAAGAACACCAGUGGCGAAGGCGGCUUACUGGUCCGGUACUGACGCUGAGGUGCGAAAGCGUGGGGAGCAAACAGG
rnacentral:rRNA from 1 species